AACGAACGCUGGCGGCAGGCCUAACACAUGCAAGUCGAGCGAGGACUUCGGUCCUAGCGGCGGACGGGUGAGUAACGCGUGGGAACGUGCCCUUUGCUACGGAAUAGCCCCGGGAAACUGGGAGUAAUACCGUAUGUGCCCUUCGGGGGAAAGAUUUAUCGGCAAAGGAUCGGCCCGCGUUGGAUUAGGUAGUUGGUGGGGUAAUGGCCUACCAAGCCGACGAUCCAUAGCUGGUUUGAGAGGAUGAUCAGCCACACUGGGACUGAGACACGGCCCAGACUCCUACGGGAGGCAGCAGUGGGGAAUCUUAGACAAUGGGGGAAACCCUGAUCUAGCCAUGCCGCGUGAGCGAUGAAGGCCUUAGGGUUGUAAAGCUCUUUCAGUGGGGAAGAUAAUGACUGUAGCCGGAGAAGAAGCCCCGGCUAACUUCGUGCCAGCCGCCGCUGUAAAAC
rnacentral:rRNA from 1 species